AAAAGGAAUGGGUGACUGAAUCCAGGACUUCUUGAGAAACAGCACACCCUAGAGUUUGGAGGACAAAUCGACAUUAUCACA